rnacentral:rRNA from 1 species
UAGGGAAUCUUCGGCAAUGGGGGGAACCCUGACCGAGCAACGCCGCGUGAGUGAAGAAGGUUUUCGGAUCGUAAAGCUCUGUUGUUAAGGAAGAACGAGUGUGAGAAUGGAAAGUUCAUACUGUGACGGUACUUAACCAGAAAGGGACGGCUAACUACGUGCCAGCAGCCGCGGUAAUACGUAGGUCCCGAGCGUUGUCCGGAUUUAUUUGGCGUAAAGCGAGCGCAGGCGGUUAGAUAAGUCUGAAGUUAAAGGCAGUGGCUCAACCAUUGUAGGCUUUGGAAACGGUUUAACUUGAGUGCAGAAGGGGAGAGUGGAAUUCCAUGUGUAGCGGUGAAAUGCGUAGAUAUAUGGAGGAACACCGGUGGCGAAAGCGGCUCUCUGGUCUGUAACUGACGCUGAGGCUCGAAAGCGUGGGGAGCGAACAGG